rnacentral:rRNA from 1 species
GAUGAACGCUGGCGGCGUGCCUAAUACAUGCAAGUCGAGCGAACAGACGAGGAGCUUGCUCCUCUGACGUUAGCGGCGGACGGGUGAGUAACACGUGGAUAACCUACCUAUAAGACUGGGAUAACUUCGGGAAACCGGAGCUAAUACCGGAUAAUAUAUUGAACCGCAUGGUUCAAUAGUGAAAGACGGUUUUGCUGUCACUUAUAGAUGGAUCCGCGCCGCAUUAGCUAGUUGGUAAGGUAACGGCUUACCAAGGCGACGAUGCGUAGCCGACCUGAGAGGGUGGUCGGCCACACUAGAACUGAGACACGGUCCAGACUCCUACGGGAGGCAGCAGUAGGGAAUCUUCCGCAAUGGGCGAAAGCCUGACGGAGCAACGCCGCGUGAGUGAUGAAGGUCUUCGGAUCGUAAAACUCUGUUAUUAGGGAAGAACAAAUGUGUAAGUAACUAUGCACGUCUUGACGGUACCUAAUCAGAAAGCCACGGCUAACUACGUG